rnacentral:rRNA from 1 species
GUGCACCAGUCGAGAAUUUUUCUCAAUGGGGGCAACCUUGAAGGAGCGACGCCGCGUGGAGGAUGAAGGCUUUCGGGUUGUAAACUCCUGUCAUUUGAGAACAAGUGUAGCCAAGUAACUACUGGCUACUUGAUAGUAUCAGAAGAGGAAGGGACGGCUAACUCUGUGCCAGCAGCCGCGGUAAUACAGAGGUCCCAAGCGUUGUUCGGAUUCAUUGGGCGUAAAGGGUGCGUAGGUGGCGCCGUAAGUGGGGUGUGAAAUUUCGGAGCUUAACUCCGAAACUGCAUUCCAUACUGCGGUGCUUGAGGACUGGAGAGGAGACUGGGAAUUCAUGGUGUAGCAGUGAAAUGCGUAGAGAUCAUGAGGAAGACCAGUGGCGAAGGCGGGUCUCUGGACAGUUCCUGACACUGAGGCACGAAGGCCAGGGGAGCGAACGGGAUUAGAUACCCCUGUAGU